rnacentral:rRNA from 1 species
GCUGGAGGCGUGGCUAAUACAUGCAUGUCGUACGCUUCUUUUUCCACCGGUGCUUGCUCCUCCGGAAAAAGAGGAGUGGCGAACGGGUGAGUUACACGUGGGUAACCUGCCCAUCAGAAGGGGAUAACACUUGGAAACAGGUGCUAAUACCGUAAAACAAUCGAAACCGCAUGGUUUUGAUUUGAAAGGCGCUUUCGGGUGUCGCUGAUGGAUGGACCCGCCGUGCAUUAGCUAGUUGGUGAGGG